UACGUAGGGGGCAAGCGUUGUCCGGAAUCAUUGGGCGUAAAGAGCGUGUAGGCGGCUCGGUAAGUCCGCUGUGAAAGUCCAGGGCUCAACCCCUGGAAUGCCGGUGGAAACUGUCGAGCUAGAGUCCGGAAGAGGCGAGUGGAAUUCCUGGUGUAGCAGUGAAAUGCGUAGAUAUCAGGAGGAAUACCGAGUGGCGAAGGCAGGUCUCUGGGCUGACACUGACGCUCAUGCACGAAAGGCGUGGGGAGCAAACAGG
rnacentral:rRNA from 1 species